rnacentral:tRNA from 1 species
CGAGCGUGCUGGCCGGGUCCGGGCCACGCUGGCUGGGAGUCUGCGCCGACCUGGCGUUCGUCGCCGCGCGGGCGG